CUGCCUGUGGCGCAGUUUGUAGAGCAUUGCGCUAACAACGCAAAGGUUGUGGGUUCAAUCCCUGACAGAAAAA